GAUGGACGCUGGCGGCGUGCCUAAUACAUGCCAGUCGAGCGAACAGACGAGGAGCUUGCUCCUCUGAUGUUAGCGGCGGACGGGUGAGUAACACGUGGAUAACCUACCUAUAAGACUGGGAUAACUUCGGGAAACCGGAGCUAAUACCGGAUAACAUGCUGAACCGCAUGGUUCAACAGUGAAAGACGGUCUUGCUGUCACUUAUAGAUGGAUCCGCGCCGCAUUAGCUAGUUGGUAAGGUAACGGCUUACCAAGGCAACGAUGCGUAGCCGACCUGAGAGGGUGAUCGGCCACACUGGAACUGAGACACGGUCCAGACUCCUACGGGAGGCAGCAGUAGGGAAUCUUCCGCAAUGGGCGAAAGCCUGACGGAGCAACGCCGCGUGAGUGAAGAAGGUCUUCGGAUCGUAAAACUCUGUUAUUAGGGAAGAACAAAUGUGUAAGUAACUAUGCACGUCUUGACGGUACCUAAUCAGAAAGCCACGGCUAACUACGUG
rnacentral:rRNA from 1 species